UCCCAAAGUGCUGGGAUUACAGGUGUGAGCCACCGCACCCAGUAGUGAUCCCCUUCUUAAAAGGCUUGACUCAUCAUGUAAUUGUUUAUUUGCAAGAUAGAUAGUUUAUAUAUAAUAAUACUAUUACUGUAUUUCUUUUGCCAUGUUAAUAUGGCGACACUUUACAAAAAGCAAGAAAUAGUGAUUCUUUACCUCUUUGUAUCUUUAUUUAUUUCAUCAAAUGGUUCCUUGCCAAGAAGAAAAGCAAAAUGCAAAAUAACCUCAGAACAUUUACAGGGUCUUAUCCACCUGUGCCCUCCCUAAACCCAAUACAGACUCUGACUCAGACUAAAUAUUCAACAUAUCUUCACUGAAUGAAGAGCAGAGAGGGGCCAAGUAGGACAAAGACCAUUUCUAACUAUGCACAAGAGGAGUUAGCCCAUAUGUUCCCAAUGACUCCUUAGUCACCCCUCAGAAGGUUUGUUCAUGGUGGCUACAAGUUCAAUAUAAAAUGUUACAGUUUAAAACUCAUAUUUCCUAUAACUUUAUAUUAAUAUCACGUUACCUUGAAUUUACAUACAGUUGUAUGUUUUCUUCUUUUAGAGUUGGGUCACAACUGUUAUUUUACUCAUCUUUCCUCUGCUAAAAAAUAUUUUCAUUGAUAAUAAACUCCAGGAUGCCCCUUUGAUAGACCAUCUUGAAAUUUUAAAGAAAGCCCUCAAGUCACUCCUGUUACAGAAGGACCCUCUUCCCAUUGAUCUUUAUUGGAAUAUCCCCAGGGCCACAGGUGUAGCUAGUGUGUUCCUGGGUCUGCAGCAUGAAUGAGGUUGGUUUCAGGAACUAUGCUAUAGGCGUCACUCCAGAGACUGAUGUGGGUAAGAAAGAUCCCAUAGAUUGAGGUCAUUCGUGGUAACUGUGCAAUGGUUAUCUGUGAUGAGCUCUUGUUCAAAAAUAAAAAUAGCACCUGUUGGCUGUUUCCAGUAAUGAGCCAAAGCCACGAAUAUGAUGCCUCUAAUUGGAUUGUUCAAAUUUCUGGUUGAACCUGUGAAUUUGCUUUGAAAUGGUUUAUUCUGGAGAUUGUAAAUCUACCACAAUCCAUUGUAAUUUUUGCCAUGUAGACAUAGUCCAAGUUUUCUGCUGCAGUAAUGUUGAACCAGAUGUUCAAAGUGUAAAAUCUACCAAAGAAUUCUGGCCUUCAGCCCUUCAGGCUGGUAGCUUCAGCCUGGCUUAAUUCACAUUUUUGCAUUUCUCUUAUGUUUCUGGCCACAAAGAUGUUUUUCUUGUUUUUUAAUUGCAGCUGUUUUAAUUUUCUCUUUUUAGCAUUUUAUUUAUCAUCACUAGAGACUGGAGUCAUGGGUGAAGUAUGAUCACCUCCAACUAUUUUGACUGGAAGCUCUAGAGUUGCUUUCAACUGACUUUUAAGUCUAGGGUCAUCUUUGAGCCUGCCUUCAUCAUUUUAUUACAAUAGUUAUUUCAAUAGAUAUCUUUAUAUCAACUGAUCUUUACUUAACUGACUUAUUAUAUCACUGAAAUCUGAAAUACAUGUAAUGAGACAUUCCACAUGUUAAGUUCUCUCCUUCAGCAGAUUCUCAUUAGUAAGCCUGUAUACUUCCAUGCCCAUAAAAUGAGUUGUCUACGUUCUAGCAGUCGCUUGUGUAUGUUCCUAAAUCUGCUUAUGUGGCUAUUUUAUUUACAGCAUUUAUAAAAUUGGAUUAAAAUAAACUAACGAAUUAAAUAUGAAUAUGAAAAUAAACAGCUGUUUUCAUGGAAAUUGCAUUGAUGUGGAUUCUUCUGAAGGCAUGUCCCUAAAGAACCUGCCAACAAAUUCUGUAAAGGCAGAAUGAACAUUCUGGAAAAUUUAUGUCCUUGUGUAGAAGGCUAGAAAAAAAAAAGAAGAAAAAAGAAACUCUCAGCCUGAAGGCCUACGUAAAACACAAAGCACUUCUGAAAUCUUUUUGGGGGGCCAAAAUCACACCAAGCAAUGCCUGUGGAAGUGAAUGUAAUCAAGUAUUGCCCUACCAUCUUUCAGCACAACCACAUUAGAAUCUCCUUUAAAGUUUUUCCCACCUUCCCCAGCUCUAAUUGAUCCCCUCAAAACUAUGCUAAAUUUUUAGUAUUCCUAGUCACCUUCCGUAAGAUUGGAGCUAAUUCUGACAAAUAAUCUCUGAAUGAAAAGCCAUUCUACCAGAAAUACCACAUUUCUGGUAGAAAUGUUGGGAGCAUUUUUUUUCUUUUGCUUUCUCUUUUUUCUACUUUCGUUCUUUCAGUGAACUUAGUAGAUAUUAAUCCCUGGAGAGAUUAUUUUAGUUGGUAUCUGAAUUUUAAGGUAACUUUCAGUGCUUGAAAUCUAUCAUAACUAUGUCUUCUAAUUUCGUAGAAUCUUGGUCUCAGAACCUUAAGUUUUUACACGCAUUCUGCUUCAUUGCUAGAGAGCUGAAGAAAGAGGAAUCCCUACUCUGUCGCCCCACACUUUCUAUGUCCCAGGCAAAUAGCAACAGCUCAGUAUAUCCUAAGCACUUUUCUAAGAGUUUUACACUUAUUAAGUCAUUAAUCCUCACAACAACCUCUAUGAAAUUAUUAUUAUGGUUAAGGAAACAAGCACAGAAAGAGUAAAAAUUAAUUAUUUAAGACCAAUUAUUUAAUUAAGACUAGCCAAUUCAAUAAGUACUAACUGGGUGUCAUAUGUACACAUACACAUAUGUAUAAAUAUGUACACAUGUACAUAUACAGUCAAAUAUGUGAUAUGUAUCACUAUACACAGAAAUAUAUACACACACAGUGACAUAUAUAAAUCACUGUGCUGGGUACUAUAAGGCAUAGUUCUCACCCUUAAAACAUGUCUAGUCCUGUGCGGGAAUACCUGCAUCUAGAUACCUAAGGGCAUGACAUGAUCAACUUCAUAAAAGAUAGUACAGCAGAUCAAGUAUGGUCAGGAAGAACUAAAGCUAUUCUCAGUAUGAGCGUGAAAAGCCUUCUCUUCUGUUCUGUGACUCCCUGGAAGGCCCACAGUUCACAGCAAAGUGGGGACCAAAGGAUUGAGGCUCCAUUCCCUAGAGAUGGACACCCAGAAUUCAUGUUUAAAAAUUGAAAAUAAUCUCAUAAAAUAGUUGAAUCUUCCUGUGCAUGAAACAGCUGUAGCCAUGAUGCCCAACUCAGGGCCCUGCCUCAUUGAGUCCCCCCAGAGCUUUCCGCUGGCACUGAUGAUGUCCAGAUCUCCAUGCACACUGGUGCUGACACAGCCCCAUUAGCACAUUACUACUUCUGUCCCAUGAAAUAAAUCACAGCAAGGUGGUCGCCUAUGCAUUUCAGAAACCAGGAAAGUGGAACGCAUCAAGAUGAUCCUUUCACCACGACUAAGGAUGAUUUUGGAGGGUAAAGGAGUAGGAAUCAUAUUUUCUACCAUCACAGUUCAUUCCUUUACCUCUUCCCCAAAAGACCAUGAUAAGCUCCCAUGCUUAAGAGGAUCUUCAUUAGGAAGCAAUUACAGUCUAAGGCUAAAACUGUAGGCAGUCAUUUUAUUACUUUAGAAAAAUGUUUUGUAAAUAAACUUGGGAAGGAGGCACCAAAGUUGCUGUGAAAAGAAGAACAAAUUAUGAACAAAAAAGGCCAAUAAAUAAAUGGUAGUUAUCAUGACAUCCAUAGCGGGUCUUCCAUAAGUCAUAGUAAUCAUUCCCUGCAGGAAAGCAGCCACUAUCCAUCCAGGGACACUAACAUCAUUUUAUUCAAAGACUUGAGGGGGCCACCAUUCACAUAUGGUAGCCACACAAUCUUUGGACAAGAAAAUGAAGAGUUUGGGGAACAGCAUCAUCUGCCUUAGGAAAAACUCAGAGCCCUGGUCUAGAAUAAACUCUAGGGCUCUGAGAAAAUGAUUCUCUAAAACUAUCAGAAGUCUACGGAAAUAUGGAGAUUUUUUUCAAAGCUAUGUUUAAAUACAUUCGGUAAAUCUGAAAUAUAUUAAUAAACAUUGUUAUGUCUUUCUAUUAAGAAUAAUUUUGAUAAGAAUUCCCCACCAAAAUCACCUCCAUGUUGGCUGGACAACCCGAUGUCAUUGCUAAAAGAGUGAAAAUGUUUCAGUCUCUGAUAUUACCAAGUAAACAUAAUAAAUGGCUGUGAUGGUUAACACUCAGUGUCAACUUGGUUGGAUUGAAG
rnacentral:lncRNA from 10 species